UGGGGAAUUUUGCACAAUGGGGGAAACCCUGAUGCAGCGACGCCGCGUGAUUUAGAAGGCCUUCGGGUUGUAAAAAUCUUUUCUAUGGGAAGAAAAUGACAGUACCAUAGGAAUAAGGACCGGCUAAUUACGUGCCAGCAGCCGCGGUAAUACGUAAGGUCCGAGCGUUGUCCGGAAUCAUUGGGCGUAAAGGGUACGUAGGCGGGUAAGCAAGUUAGAAGUGAAAUCCUAUAGCUCAACUAUAGUAAGCUUUUAAAACUGCUCAUCUUGAGGUAUGGAAGGGAGAGUGGAAUUCCUAGUGUAGCGGUGAAAUGCGCAGAUAUUAGGAGGAACACCGGUGGCGAAGGCGACUUUCUGGCCAUAACCUGACGCUGAGGUACGAGAGCGUGGGUAGCAAACAGG
rnacentral:rRNA from 1 species